GAGUUACUCCAGCAUUUUUGUGAAACUGGUACGAUGACUAGCAUGGGGGAGGGCCGGGGAGAGAGGUAAUGCAAGGGUUACUUGAAAAGUUAGAGAAAUCAA